rnacentral:rRNA from 1 species
UCUAACUAUUAAAAAGGUAAUACCCCUGGGGAAACCUUUACUUUUUGACGGCCUUCUUUCUCCCUAAAGGAACUUGUUAAUUAAUCGAAAUUACCCGUUAAAUUUAUCUUUUUUUAAAAAUAUUUAUACCGUCGUCUUAAGACCGCACUAAUUUGUUCCUCUCAUAAUUAGUCCCCUAAAUAAGUCAGAUCAAGGUGAAGCCUAUAAAAAAGUUAUUCAUGAGUUAUUCAUAAAAAUUAUUUAAAGAUUUAUGCCCAAAGCCUCAAUUAAUUAAGAUUCAGCAGUAUAUUUAUUUUAAUAAAAUUAAUAGAAACAGUAAAAGAAGGUGU